rnacentral:rRNA from 1 species
GACGAACCGUGCAAACGUUGUUCGGAAUCACUGGGCUUAAAGGGCGCGUAGGCGGGCAAGCAAGUCCGGGGUGAAAUCUUUCGGCUCAACCGGAAAAGUGCCUUGGAUACUGGCGAUCUUGAGUCCGGGAGAGGUGAGUGGAACUGCGAGUGUAGAGGUGAAAUUCGUAGAUAUUCGCAAGAACACCAGUGGCGAAGGCGGCUCACUGGCCCGGUACUGACGCUGAGGUGCGAAAGCGUGGGGAGCAAACAGG